UUCCUUCUGCUGCUUGAUCAAGGCGCGCAUCACCGCAGUUCGUCUAGAUUCUGUAGUAAACACUCUUGUUUCGAAGCUCUUGUUUGGAACCCAGCUGAGGUAGGGGAAGAAAUCUCUCCAGUCGACCUCAAUUGCGCACAUCAUCAUGUCAGUCACAGUAGCAUUGUAGAUUUCUUCCUUCGAAAUGUCCCUCCCAAAUUCAUCCACAUAGACUGAACUCACAUCCUCUCCUAAGCUCUGAAGUUUGCGACAUUAAUUAUUAGUACCGAAAAUAACAAAUCGACCAUCUGACAGUUCAAGUUCAGAGAGACAAUCCAAACCUGGAUCAUGGACAACCGGAAUAGCUCAUCCUUGAAAACAUCUCUGAAUAUCAGAGGAGCAUGUGGGUCAUCUUUCACCAGUUGAUGGAAAGUGCUUAACAUGUUAUUGAUGAUCAUAUCUCUUGUGUCACGAAAUUGUUUCUGAAAUUUAUGAAAACGCGUUGCGUUGUUAGACCACAGAUAAGUGAAACUCUGAAAGUGUAACUGGUAGCAGAUAAUCAAUAUUGGAAAUGCAGACUGGAGUUAUUGAGAACAAUCAGUACUAAAAAUGAAAAAUGAAAUUGUUGAGAUGUAUACCUGUGCAGAAGUACCCAGCAUGCUUAACAUGAUAUAACGCUUCCCCAUUUUGUGGAAAUCACCACUGUCGCUGGUAGCAACCAUGGAUUUAUCAUGACUAAGCACUGUUAGUGCUUUGGAUAGCUUUCGGGUAGAUAUGGAUGAGAAUUUUGCAACCAUCGCCUGCAAAAGAGAGUACAGUAUUGGUUUGUGUUAUUUAUGAUCAAAUCAAAUGUGAGACCAUCAUUUUAGAGUUAUGCAAGUCGAUAGAAAUGAUAGACAACUUCUAAGUUACCUCCUUGGCUACUUCAGUUGAAUUGAGCACAACUACGGAAGAAGCCCCGGUCCUUAUAGUGUAGAUUGGGCCAUAAAUUUCAGCCCAUUUUGUGAAGGUCUGAUGAGGCUUCUUUUCUUUCAAUUGAUGCAGAUUUCCGAUUAUGGGUAAACCAGGAACAGCUGCAUGACAAUGAAAUAAGGAAUAAGUUCAUUUGAGGUCCCUUAGCUUUACACCGAAUCCGAUUUUCGUCCUUAAACCCCAAAACUAGAUAUAACAGGUCCCUGAACUGUCAAAACCGGCACAAACAAGAUCCCUUGACGAUUUAGAAGGCGGUUUUAACUGACGUGCCAACUACAUGGCUGGUUUGACUAGGUCUUCGUCCCACGUGGUAUUGACGUGGCGCUUACGUAGCAAUUAUAUCUCGGAAAAAUAAUAAAAACCGUGGGCUCAAAUAAUUUAAAAAUGGUUAAAUUGCGAGACGAAUUAAGCCUAAUUAAUCCGUAACCUACUAGACAAAUUUAUUAAGCCUAAUUAAUCUAUUAUUAGCAAAUAUUUACUGUAGCAACACACUAUCAAAUCAUGGAGCAAUUAGGCCUAAAAGAUUCGUCUCGCAAUUUAGAUGCAAUCUGUGUAAUUAGUUUUUUCCGUUUAUAUUUAAUACUCCAUGUAUGUUUCCAACAUUCGAUGUAACAGGAUGAAAAAAUUUGCCAGGGAUCUAAACAAGCUCUACAUGGAGUGCUAAGUAUAUGCUUAAUUAGCGGCAUUACUAAAAUGAAGACCAGAUGGUCAGAGAGAAGAAUUAAAUUUAAAAAUACACUGUUCAUUCGUUGGUUUCUCAAAAAUAUUCAGAAUGUAAAUUUAUUAGAAGAAAUAUACCGUCGAUCUCGUAUAACCAUUCCGCGAAAGUGACGUGGGAGUGACGUCGUGAACGGUCUCGCGCGAGGAGAACGCGAGACUGCACGGUAUCGCGUGAUCAUAGCGCGAGACCGGUCUCGCACGACGAAAUAGCACUGAACGACGGAAUCGAGGAUGUACGCGGUGGCGACGUCAGACCACGUGGUCUCGCGCGGCCAAACCGCGAGACCGAGCAGUCUCGCUCAGUCAGUGAGCGAUAGCGACUGCCUCUGCCGAUUGAAUAAGGUUAAUUAGUGAUUAAUUAAUCGCUAAUUAGAAUAAUUAAUCACUAAUUAUUGUUAAUGAAUCAUUAAUUAGGGUAAUUAAUGACUAAUUAAGUAGCUCCGUUGGACAUGACAUUUGGUCUCGCUGAUUCUUUAUACGAGACUGUUCGGUCUCGAUGCUUCAUCACACGAUACCGUGCGGUCUUGCGCUCCUACCACGCGACACUGGUAUAUUUUCGCUAAAAAGUAUAUAUCACGAAUAUUUCUACGAAAAACCAAAUUAAUAGUAUAUUUUUAAAUUUAAUUCGAGAACUAAGACCCAAAACUAAAAACGGAAGGCACAAUAGGCUUAAUAUCUAAAGCUAAAUCGAUUAGAACUAGGUGUAAUCAUAUUCUACGAGUCGUCGUGAUUGGCCGUUUGUUCGUAUUCUGCUAUCCAUCUUCUACAGUUCUACGAGUCAUAUCACGUUGAUCGUGAUAACAUGUUAAGUUUUAAGGCCCCAUUACACCUUACGCACCAUAACCUCUAAUUCCUUCUACGGCCCUCUAAUUCCACCAACCACACCUCCAUUUAUAGUUCGUUUAAAUAAAAUAGUAGGGUGGUCCGCACAUUUGCAACUUGAUUUUUUUUAAAGUUUUAAUAUCUAACAAUAUUACUCAAAAACAAAUAUUCACAUAUUUGCAUGUUGAUAAUGUGCAUUUUUAUCUAUUUACACAAUCACACACUACCAAAGUUUCUCUUAUAUUCAACCAUCAAUACCAGUCUGCAUCAUGCUCAAUCACAGUUACUAUUUGAUACUCCCUACAAUCUAGUCUCUAUUCUAGGAUGAUUGAGCAAGAUGCAGACUAGGUCUGCUUCUCACUUAUUCAUACUUAAUUAUUUGAUAGUACCAGAUUGAGCAGGAUGCAGACCUGGUCACUUUCCUGUGCGACAAGUGUUGUUUCUAUUCAAAAUUUCUUUCUACUCUAAUUUUACCAACACAGACAUACUUUUGUCUUUGUCUUACGUGGAUAGAAAUGGAAUUUUCUAUUCUAGGGGUGUUUAGAUCCAUCGGUGUAAAGUUAUUAUAUAGGGUGUUGCAUGGGGUGUUCGGGCACUAAUAAAAAUACUAAUUACAGUAUUCGUCAGUAAACCGUGAGACGAAUUUAUUAAGCCUAAUUAAUUCGUUAUUAGAACAUGUUUAUUAUAGCACCACAUUGUCAAAUCAUGGAGCAAUUAGGCUUAAAAGAUUCGUAUCGUAAAGUAGUCGCAAUCUGUGUAAUUAGUUAUUUUUAAGCCUAUAUUUAAUAUAUACUUCGUGCAGGUGUUCAAACGUUCGAUGUGACAGGAUGUAAAAUUUUAGGUGGGAUCUAAACAUCCUGAUAUUUUAGGACCAUGCUACCCUCGCACAUCUACGUCCAAUUAAAAAAAAAAACCCUUGUAUUCAAACUGGAAAGCAGACAGCUAGUCAAAUUUGUUCAUGGAUUCAACAUAAUAUGGUUCCACCAUGAUCUAACAGUGUAGAUUUUGUUUUUUUUCUACAAUUAAUGUUGUAAAUUCUAGUCUCCAUUGCAAACAUGAUAUCUCCUUCCAAGAAUAUCUUAAUAAUAUUAUAGAUAAAUAUAGUUUCAUCUCGAACCAUAAUUAAUCUCGUGUUAUGUUUUAGACCAACACUUCUCUCAAUAUUCCAUAACUUUUACAUCCAAUUUUAGUUAUAUAUAAAAUGUAUUUCCGAAUGGACUCUCUUUUUUCUUUUUCCCCACAAAUGUUAUUUUAUACGUGUUAUUUCUAUAUUUUUAAAUCAUACUUUGAAUAUUUAAUUAUUAUAUAUUCUAUGGACUCCUCUUGGUAUGUUGUCUUACUUAUUUUUAUUUUUUUCCCAAAUUUUCAUGAUUCUUUUAAAUUUUAUUUGGAAUUAGUAUUGUAAUAUAGUUUAUUAUAUUUUUUUUAUUUUGAAUAUAACUAAUCUCGUGUUGUGUUACAGGUUGACUCCUCUUUUUAGUACUUCUUUUUUACGAGUUUUAGUUAUUCCCAAAUUAUAUUUUUAUUUGAACUCUUUUAUUUGUUUAUUCUCAAUUUUAAUUAAUCUCAUGUUAUGUUUAGAUAGACUUUUCUUUGAAAAUUUCUUGUUUUAAUUUCAAAUUUAUGUUAUUUCUGUAUUUGAACUUAUUUUUCUUUUUCUUCAAUUAAUAUAGAAGUUUAUAGCCUCUAUAACAAAAGUGGUGCAUUAUUUUAAGUUGUCAGUUUAAUAAAAACGAAGAUGAAAAAAUAUUUACACCGUGGGGGUAAGCUAGUGUAGUACUCCCUCUGUCCCACUUAGUAAGUUGUGCACUCAAUUUAAGAUUCAGUUCUUUAAAUUUUGACCAAUAAUACUUUAUUAUAAAUUAUGUCUUAUUUGACAAAAAUAAUAUCAUUGAAUUUAUAUUUGAAUUUACAUGCAUAUAAUUGUGAUUUUGUUGCUACAAACAUUUUUCUAUUUUUUUGUAUAAUUUAUGAAGAUAAUUUUGAUUUUGUAUUUUUAUAAUUUAUGCAGAUAAGGGUCAUACCGUAUUCAUCUUUGUAUUUUUUUUUCCAGAUACAAAACCGAAUAGGUCGGAUAUGAAAACAAAUAAGAAUUAUCUCUAAUGCAAAUAAUCAUCAAAUAUAUCCGACACGAAUACCAAGAAUUUAUUUCUCGGAACACAAAAACCACCUAAACAUUUAAUAGAAACAAACACCAACACACAUAAUUAGCUCUUUUUAUAUAAUAAGGUUGAUCAUAGACUAAACAGUGCUAAUUAAGUUCUACAUGCAUGUAUAACAGAGUUGGUAAAAAUACAUAUAUAACUGAUAUUAUAAUAUAUAAAUAUAGUAUAUUUUAUAAAAAUAUUUAAAAAUUUAAAUAAUAUUAAUAAUAAAAUCUAAAGAGGUAUGUUAAAGAUGAGUUAGAGAGAAAUGGUAUAUGUUUUAUGUCUUCAGCAGAUAUGCGAUAUAUGUAUCCGACAAAAAUUCUGAUACCAUAUUCUUGUUCGCAUCCGGGAAAACAAAUAUAUGUAAAAACUAUCCAAUAAUUAUCUGCUCCGCACGAUAUCCGUAUUCAUUUUUCUUCUGUAGCAGAAACUAUCCACUCCAUUUUCAUCGCUAAUUAGGGUCAUCAGCUGCAUGCCAUCUCCAACAUUUCAAUGAAGCUAGAUAGGUAGAUAUAUAUCCACAGGCCAGGAAGCGGACGGCAAAACACGGCAAUGGAUCGAUCGAACGAUCGACGAACGGGCCCGGCCGGCCGGUUACCUGGAGGCGGGUUGCGGCGGUUCUUGGGCGGUGCCACGGCGAGUGUCGCCGCCGCGAUAAACCCCCCGACGGCCGCCGCCGCCACACCGAUCCCUCCCGCACCGGCUGCGAGCAGCGACUCCAUGGCCGACCCCUACUCAGAUCGAUCGAUCACACAGGCUCACUGCGAGAGUUUGCACUUGCACUGCAUUCUCUUGAUGAUCAAUCCCCGGUUUAGUACUAGUAUUAUAUAUAGGGCUGCGGCUGUGUUCGCCAUUGCUGGUCCCCAAUGGGAACAGUACGCACGGAAAACAUAGCAAUCCAUUAGUGUGUGAUUAAUUAAGUAUUAGCUAAUAUUUUUUAAAAAUAAAUUAAUUUGAUUUGUUAAGCAACUUUCUUAUAGAAACUUUUUUUAAAAAACACACCGUUUAGCAGUUUAAAAAACGUAUACGCGAAAAACGAGGGAGAGGGGGCUGGGAAAAGGGGCAGCCGAACAGAGGCGCCUUCGCUGUCCGAACCCGCAUAUAUGUUCAUGCAUGGCGCUUAAUUUCUUUUACCCUCAAUUUGAUUGACUUGGGAACUUAGGUCGAUAAAAUUAUGCUGCGCUCCUAGUAUUCUGAGCACCAAACAUGUAUCAGCCCAGGUCUACCUCGCCCCACGUCCCUUUAUCCCACUCCCACCGUUAUCGAAGUAAACGAUUUAUUUCGAUAAAAACAACUUUCCAGUUUCCACAUCCCAUCAUCCCGCUCCCAUCGUUAUUGGAGCAAAUGAUUUAUUUCGAUAAAAUCAACUUCCCUACUUCUGGUAUAUAUUAUAUUUUUCCAUGUACCCAACUAACCACUCUCACCCCCACUUCAUUUUUUCCUCUUUUUUUUUGGAUCUAAAUCGAUUCACCAUCCUAGCCCAUAGAUCUGUGACGCACCAUGGAGGAGGACGACGGCACCGUGGCAGUUGAGGCGAAGGUGUUGCAUGGGGCCUCAUUGCCAGACGCUGGGUAGCACCGUAACCAACAAGGAUGUGUUCACUUGGGCCAAGAGCAACAACCGGCGGCUGCUCCACGUCGACGACGUUGAUUGAUAGGACAAGCAAGUAAGGAAAUGGCACUCCAAUUUGCAUCUGUAUACCCUCCUUCACCUUCAUGCAUGAAGCCCAAUUUCCUUUUGCAAAUCAAAUUAACGUACAAUCUCCAAUAUUACCUAAUGUGAAUUGAUGGGCUACACAGGUUCUACAUUUACACACCGUGCUACAUGUGGAUGGCCGUAGAGGUAGAGGAUAUUAUGAAGUCCACUGGUGAUGGUGAUCGUUUGUUAUUUUUCUUUGGCUCGUCGUGUCUAUGACAGGAACGAGAGUGUUUUUGCAUUUUUUUUUAUGCUUGCUAGAUGAUGGAUGGCUGCUACUUCGCAUCAUCAAGCUCAUCUCUAUACCACGCCGCUACAUCCUUCUAUGAUUCCAUCAUCGACUACCGCUCACCACCCAGUUGCCCUAUCCACUACCAGUCACAAGACAUAGACUAACCUCUCCAUCCUUAUAUAUAAAAAGAUCUAGCAAAGCCACCAGGAUCCUAGCUUCAAGAUGGAUUUUUGACUGAAUCAUUUUUUUUCUUUUCUAGUUUGAUUCACUUGUGAGUAAUUUAUCACUUGCGUAUGAUUGAGCCUAUAAUUUUUUUACUCGUAUGGCCAUUUUGUGAUACAGAUUAAUAAUACUCUUAGUAUCAGUUUUUAGUAUCAGUUUUUACUCUUAUACUGUGUAUUGAACACAUCAGUAAACAUAUUAUUAUACGGUGGCUAUAAGAUCAUAGGUUAUAUCGAGAGGAAGGUGCUAGUUAUCUUACUCGCAGACCAUGAAGUCUAAACAAUAUUUAUAACAAAUCACCCACAUAUUUUGGAAACCCUCUAUUAAGGGAAUUUGGUUUAUUUUUUGUUCCAGAAAAAAUGUUUCACCUAGUGUACUCACAAUGUUUCACUAUGUAUAGGUCUAAUAUUGCAGUGAACUGAAAUAUUCCAUUGCAACAAAAAACCCACAUAUUUUGGAAACCCCCUAUUAAGGGAAUUCGUUUCAUUUUUCGUUCCGCCGAAAAAUGUUUCACCUAGUAUACUUAUAAUGUUUCACUAUAUAUGGAUCAAAUGUUGCAGUGAACUGAAACAUUUUUUCGUUAUUUGCUGAAACAUUAUUUUUAUAUAAGGUGAAACAACACCUGAUUUAAAUGAGUGAAACAUUUUCGAUGAAACCAUUCCGAUAUACCUAGUGGAACAUCGUGCAAUAUUUAAAAAUAAUUCAAUAAUAAGCUAAAUUUUUUUCGUCAGAAUAUAUCCAUGUGUGGUCUUGUUUUGAAGAUUUAAUUGUAAUGAAUUUAAUGGUGCAAUCAGAUCAUGAUUUGGAUAAGUAAUUUAAGAGAAAAAUCAGUUUAAAGUAGUUUUGCACGUAAAUCGGCUGCUGACGUCAUGCUGACAUCAGCGCCCGAUUUUAACCUCUUCCCAUCGGGCGCCUGAGCCGGAGUCGCGUCCUUGUAAGCUGGUAGUAAUUCUUUUACAGCCAUCUAGGAAUGGUGCCGUAUGAUGUGAGUAAAUUUAUUACUUUUGAAGGGGGUAUUUAUGUGAGUAAAUUUGUCACUUUUAAAUGAGCAGAUGUGGGAGUCUGGGAGUAGAUGGAAAACUCUGGGCCAGAGUAAAUUCGUUAGUUUUGAAAUGUGGGGAGACUGUAAAAACAGAAAACUCGGAAAGAAAAACUAACAGCAAAUAUUUUACUAAACACAAAAACAGAAAAACUGGAGAGAAUGAAUGUAACACGAAAUCUGGAUGGUUAAUAUUUUAUCAGGCCCUUUCAUGGAGCGCAUAUGAGAUGGAAAAGAGAAAAAAAACACGAAAGGUGGGGUGGUAAAAAAACGGACAGAGAAAAGGUGGGAUGCAGAGGAAAGGUGGGUGCCAAAAAAGGGUAAAACCGAAAGGAGGGAGCAUUGUGCGGCGCUCGAACUAAUAUUCCGCGCGCAGCGUGUAUUAGCGCCACCGAAAAUUAUAUCUAUUUUUUUAAAGAAGGUAACAUAAUUUUCGGAUCUCAGGGAUUCCGAAAAUUAUAUAAAUCGAUAUACUCCCUCCGUUUUCAUGUUAGAAGAUGUAAUUGAGCAUGGUUUCCGAAAAUACCAGCAGCUGGUUGGCUCACCAAAGCUAGUCAAACAAACGUUUUUUUACCAAUAUCAUGAGCAUGGUUUGAAACUACAGAGCGAAAAUUUGGGAAUUUUGGGUCUAUCAGAUCCCUGAUAAGAAAUUAUUUUACCCAAAAUUUUGGAUUUAUUUGGUAAAAAAUAUUCAAUUUUAAACUAUUUUUUUUUAAAAAAAAUAUUUAAGAACAAAACUACCGUAAUUUCUGAAAUUUCGGUACUAUCCAUACACGAACAAAAAUAGUAAAAACCAACACUGCACUCUGAUAGUCAAUGGCGAUAACUGCAGCACGGUUUGGAGUCCAAAUGACCCGCACCACAGAUUAGUUCAUUAAUUGGUCAUAGCCACCGGUCCUGCUGGUGUGUUAUUAUUCAAAGUUCAAACAAUGUGUUACUGCUCAGGACAACUACUUCAGAAGCAUGUACGUACUAAAGCUUGAAUCAGUUGGAAGUAAUCGUUGAAAUUACUUGUGUACAAUUAAUAUUGCUAUAAUGGCCAAUUUAUCAUCGAAAGACAAACAGUUCUCUUAAACUUGGACAAAAAUAAUAAAGUAAUUACUCCCUCCGUCCUAUAAUAUAAUGGAUUUUGGAGGGAUGUAAUACAUUCUAGGACCAUGUAUCCCCUGCUUUGAUUGUCAAUAUUGAUUUUGCCCCUAUUUUUAGGGUUUUCGUUUUUACCCCUACUUUUUUUUAAAUGAAUCAACCGUUUGCCCCUGUUUCAUUAAGUUUUGCUAACGGUGUUAAAUAUGGGGGGUAAAAAGACAAGUAUACCCUUAGAUAUUUUCCCGUACUUUUGACAUAAUCAAAAUAAAAAUUGAUUGCUGUCAUUAUAGCAGUAAUUUAAUUUGUCAAAAUUUUGUGAAAGUUGCCAAAAUUUAGGUCAAAUUUGAAAAGUGGUGUACAAAAAUACGGGAAAAUAUCUAAGGGUAUACUUAUCAUUUUUACCCCACAUUUAACACCUUAGUAAGAAUUAACAGAAUAGGGGCAAAUGGUUGUUUCAUUUCAAAAAAGUAGGGGCAAAAACGAAAAUCUUGAAAACCAGGGGCAAAAUCAAUAUUGGACAUCGGAGUAGGGGCAAGAACGAAAUUGCCCCAAAAAAUUAAGAGUUGCAGCCCUAUCAAAUAUGUCCUUAUAACUUACAGGCAUGAUAAACAAACCUUAGAGUUUACUUAUAAGGGUUUUAUAUGAUUAUCCCCUUGAUUUGGCUAUUUACAGGGGCAUUCUUACCCUUUCAUAGCCUAUCAUGGGCCCAUCGGACAUAACCAAGGUGGCCCCUAUUAGGAGCCUUCUCCUGAGCCAGUCAUCCUCGGCCUAGCUAUCCUGCGAGAUUACGCUUGUGAUUAUGACUCAUAGCUGUCAUGCUCUGAUUUUCUCCCAAGGAUUAAAAUUAUUCGAUAAUUUAUACUAAAACUUAAACCAUUUACAAAGUGAAGUUAUUGUUGGAAAUAAAAUUUUCUUUAAUAAAUCAUUGUUGGAAAUAUUUAUUAAAGGAAUUAAAUCUAGCCUCUAACAGGAACUAUUUUUUAUUGUCCAUUUUCGUAUAGUAUGUAUACCACAUCCCACAAUUGUUGCGAUACAACAUAAUCUCUAUCUCUACUAUUAUUAAAAUUAAAGAUGUUUUUAUUGGGAUUUUGGUAUGUCAUUUAUAGUAUCAACUAGGUGAUACCCCGCGCAUUGCCGCGGGAUUCAUGAAUGAAUAUAUGUUAAAUAUUUUUGAAAUGAUAAAAGUUGAAAUGUUGAGAAAAUAAUUUGAGGAAGAUGAUUUGACACAUACUUAUUGAUAUAUGAGUAAAUUAUAUUGCCGGUACACGAACUUGUUCAGGUGGGUGCAAAAUUUAGUGCACGAACUUGCAAAAUGCUCGUUUUGGUGCAUGAACUUAUCUGGUGCAUGUGGAGGAAGGUGAAAAGGACACUACAUGUCUAAUCCUAUUGAUUUAGAAGCAGAUUAGGAUAUUGUGUAAACAUAUAUCUGAGAAGGUUGCUAUUAGACAUACACCUUUUCAAUAAAAAAUAGAAUAGGAUAUAGUGAUUGGAGAAAAGGAUUAAAAAAUUCGAGCAAUGAUAUAAGGGUUAGAAAUAUAUAAAAUUCAUUAUUUCCAUGAUGAAGGAUAAAGUAGAGACCAAAUUUAUAAAUAUUGCAUUUCUUAUGCAUACUCACUAGACGUACGCACGUUAGAUCCUAAUCAACAUCAGCUUCGUAAAAUUAACAUUGCCAAGUUAUUUUGGUCCUCGUUCGCACGAACUAGACAAGUUUGUGUACUGAAACGAACAUUUUACAAGUUUAUGUACUAAAUUGCACUCACCCAACAAGUUUAUAUACCGCCAAUGCAAUUUACUCUUGAUAUCUAUAAUAUAAUAUUGUAGAUGAUGUGUCAUACUUGCAUGAGAUUUAAAUAGGCUAGAAUAGUAAUUGCUAGUGGGUGAUGAUAUGGCAUGCUUGCAUAUUGAGCUUUAGCUUCUAAUAAUUGUUAGUGGGUACCAACUAUAUAGAAAGUAUACAUAAAGUUACCUGGUCCUCCUCCUCCUCUCGUCUAGACUUAUCAAUAAACCAUCUUCAUCAUUUCUUAUCUCCGCCCUCUCAGCUUAGAUAUGUAUCGGGUAUCAAUAUGUACAACUGGUACCGAAGAGGUAUCAGUUGGUACCUUCAGGUAUCGAACGAUACUUAUAAAGUAUCAAAUCUAGAGUAAAUUUCUUCUAGACCUUUGAAAACUCACCCAAUUCUCUUCAUGCCCCUGAAAUUUACUCGAUUCUUUCUAUAUCCCUGAAAUUUCAACUUGAUCCCUUCCAUACCCCUGCUGUUACAUUUUCCUUCAUUUUGCUGCUAAGUUUGGUUGCAAAUGUCUUUUAUAUACUUGAUAAUUUAGGUUUGAAUAUACGCUUGAAAACGAUUGAAAAUUUUGUUUGAGUGCAAAAUAUGUGCAUUUUAUGAAAUUAAUGAGAUUAAAUAAUUAGUGUAGAAAAUUUUGACAUAAAUUUUGAAAAUAAAACAGAUGUAAUAAUUUAAAUUCUUAUUUGAAAUUUUAAUAGGAUAAUAGAAUGGAAGCAUUCAUAAAAAAAUAUCAUGAGCAUUAGUAGUCUAUCUUUGUAUGAAUGCUCCUCAUUUUUUAUAGCUUUUUAAAAAAUAAAAUAAAUACAUUUUCUAUUUCAUUAUCUAAAAUUAUUUUUUCAUAAAUAAUGUAUCGCACAACAAACUCAUAACUAUAAUAGUCUCAUGCGAUAAACUUUUACAUUUUCAAUAAUAUAAUUCAUAAAUUUCUAUGUUUAUCCAAAGGGUAAAAUGGUCAUUUUUAUAGAAAUUAGACGGUCAACUAGAAAGAGGGGUAUGGAAGGGAUCCAAAUUAAAUUUUAGGGGCAUACAAGUAAGAAAAAUUCAGGGGCAUAGAAGGAAUUAGCUAAAAUUGUACGUGAAAAGAGAUGUCUAUCCACGUGCGCAUGACAACAUCAACCAAUCAACCAUCAUUACACUGAUAAUCUCUUUACACUGAUAUUUUUCUAUGGAACCUUCGAUGAUUUAUAUUUUUAAACCGUGCAUUAUUUUUAAGAUCCAAUUUAACCAUUGUACUACACUCAAAAUAUAUCAUAAAUUGAGUCCAAGAGUAUAUUCUUAUAUUUAAUAGUAAUUUACUCACAUUGUAGAAGUAACAUAGUUUUCAGUUUUACAAUAGAAGAAACUUUUCUCUAGCAUUGAAAGAAAACAUAUCGCACUAUAUUGAAAUAAGAAACUAUACGAAGUAAAAUGUGGAGAAGAUUACAUGACUAAAUACAAUUAUUUUUUUUAUUUGGAAGUAAUCGCUAUAUUUUUUUGGAAAGAGCAAUAUGGUGUCAUAUAAUAAGUACUAGAAAGAAACAGCCACUCCGCUGCGUGCGCGGAAUAUAUAGUUAAUGGCACAUAAUAAAUACAAAUGUCCGGUAUGUAAACAUCGAUAUGGUAAUCUAACACUACGUGGGGAAAUAAUUUACAUCGAGGAUGCUAGGAUCCAUCUCUUUCGGGGAGUCAAGGAGCGCUCUUCCUCAUUUUUAGAGAAGUCCACAAAAACAUGGACUUUCAGAGAAACAUUCAACAUUUCCGCAUAGCUAUGCUCUUCAUGACACCUGCCGAUGCAAAGAUGAUUGUCUUUUUAAGAUUGAUAAUAAACAACACAUCAUUACAUGUAUUCGCAACAAUCUAUAUAGUAGAUGACAGAUACUUCCUUUGCAAAGUGGCAUUGAAUAAUGAGAUAUGUUCUACAUCAUGUCUAAAGCUAAAUUUUGCAUGGCCACUCAUUUAUCAGUAUAUUCGAUCUCAUCUUCCCAAGAGGGGCAAUAAACAUGGCACCGAUAAAUCCCAAAUAAUCUAAUGAAAAUUCCUAGCAAAAAAAUGGCUUAACAAAGUCAUACCGUGAAAUCCAACUUGUAACGAAAAGUUCAUAAGCAUGUUUACCAAGGGAAAAAUUCAGUAUGAAAGGAUGGACCAGUAACAAAUUCCAAAACAAUCAUGUGCAAGAUGCUUGCCUGAAAAAGAUAAUAGCAGUCCCACACAUGGCACAUAUUGUGUAAAAUUGAUUAAAUUUGAGGCAGAGAUUUGAAAGAACAGCAUCUCACAUGCCAAAAGAUACCGAGGUAGACCAAGCACAAAAUAUAAUUAUACAAAUAGGUGGACAUAAAUGGCAAUUUGUAUUUGAGUAAAGGAACGCUACAGUGGAAAACCGUUGUUUGAAAUCUUGACAUAUCUUAUAGAAGAAAAAUGCUUUUCCCUUGUAAGAAUCCAACAACUUUUACUAUGCUUCUUUUGAAAAGACUGGACAGAAACCAUAUACACAGCAGCAACGUGCGUAAAUAGCCAAGAAAGAAGCUACUAAAAAUUUUGUGUAAACAAACUUGUCAGCGUCACAAUAAAUAUAUAUGUAGAAUGCAUUCAGAAACAACACAUAACAGUUUAUACCAUGCAUAAAAUUUCUGAUGCAGUAGACACUUUGUUGCUCUGUUUUUAGUUCUAUUGGUUUGAAACAGCGGCGAUCAACAAACUACAAAGUGGCAGAAUCAAUACCAGGAUCCACGAAAAUAUAGACCACCCGAACACUUUUGAACCAAUGUUUUCAUGUGAAUCUUUCUAUUGUAUAUGCAAUAGCACUAAUGAUUUUUAAGGAUGGAAAAGAAGGUAAUGAUCCCACCUUGUUGCUCAAAGAAGAAACCUCCCCAACUGUAGAUCAGCUGACUUGGGCAGAAGAUAAGCACUCGCAUCAUUCAGAGAAACAGUCUCAAGUUUAUAUCCAUCUGUUGGACCUGCAAGAAAAACUGAAGUAUAAGUAUUAUUUCACAUUGGGAUCCAGACAAACAACCAGGAGCUUAUUAAACACAUUUGCAUUGGAAAUGUAACAGUUAUUUUUGUCUCCGUUGUUGCAUUUAGCAAUACAUAUGAGCUAUUACGAAUGGUUCAUUCAAAUAAAGUUUAGAAGUAAGAAACAUUGGGGCAAUAUUUCAAUAUCAGAUGACUAAUAUCACCACCUGUAAUUUCCAAAAUGCUUGAAUCACUUAACAUUAUGUGGGUAAAAGUGUAUAAAUAUUGUAGUGUUUGUCUGAAAGAAAUAGCCACUCAUGCUAGGUUAGAUAAUUAGGCAUCAAUUAAUAAAGCGAGGUUAGGGGGAAUCGGUAGUCUAUAGACCUGGAAUAAGUUUGCACAUAGAGAUUAAGCAUAAGUCAAAAAAAGGAGAUAUGAUAGAAACUUUAAGAAGUCAAAUUCAAAGAUUUGACAUAGUAAUAACCCAAGAUUAUUGUGAAAGCAUCAACAUUGCAGAUCUAAGAUUGUCCAUAAAGAACAUGGUAAAUGCAUACAUCAGUCAUUCUAUCAACAAAUAAAGUGGGUAAAUGGAUUAACACAGAAAAAUGACUUGUUCGAAAGGGAAAAGAAGCAAGGGAGAUUCAAGAGACUAGAAGAGUACUUGCUCAUAGUGUAACCACCAUAGCUACCAUGUAACUACACCUAAAUAACAGAAUGAGCAAUCCAAUGGCACAUAUAUCACUGGGAGAAGACAAAAAACAGAGUUAGUACCUCCAAAUAGAAGCCACAGUAGUUGGCACAUGAGCUGAUGCCAUUGCUUUUCUGUGUGUGAUUCUGCAACCGAAUGAGCAGGAGAUCAGUAAAUAGGGAUAAGGAUAGGGAAGGAUCCAGAUCAGAUUUAUAUGCAUAUAACAGUACAAAAUUUAUUAGAUAAUUUAGUGGUUUAAGCAUGAGAAGGCAGUAUAUACCGAAUUAGGGGAUCAUUCCAUGGAUUCACCACAGGUUCAAGAUCACGCUGCAGAGUGAGCACCAGUGCGGAUUGGAUCGAUCGUAUCUAUGAGUUUUAGGAUGAACAGAUAAAGCUAAGAAUUAGGAGGGUUAAAGGAGAAAAAAAAAAGCAACGGGGUUGCAUACCUGACCAAGGCAGCGGACCGGUGCCCUACGAUGACAUGGUGGAGGCGGACAUGCCCUUGAAGGCUAGACCUUGGAGUGGCCCAAAGACCCAAAUCGAUGUGGAUGAUGGGGCAAGAGCAUGCCGUAGAGGACGCGGUCGCGUUGCCAGCGCCGAUGGCCGGUCGGAGUGGUGGCAACCGGAUCCACUAGUGGGGAGGCCGAGAGCAUCUACUGGGAUGGCUCUGUGUCACCAAUCCGUGGCGGCAAAGCUCACCGGAGUUGAGGGACACGAUGAACUGGCAUGGGGAAGAAGAAGAAGAAGAAGACUUAGGCGAGAAGAAGAGACAUAACUUGGGGGAGGAGAGAUUCUUUUUCAUUUCUCAUUUCGUAAUCGUAUCAGUACAACGACAAGGAGAUUUUAUCCUCCACUCACACAGCUGUCUCCUGUGCCCCACUUGGCAUUCACACACACCUACCACUCUCUUUACACAAUACGCUUUCUUGGCGAAGACACGUCUUCUCACUUUACGCUUUCCCCUGUUCUCCUUCCUUUGUCGCCACUGUGAUGUCCGGUAAUGGCACACGUGACAUUUGCCCCCCCCCCCACGAGCACCAGCUUGGCCCCAGACAAGUGCCAAAGGAAACCGAGCACGCAGCACGUCAUAAUCCUCCCAAGUGGCCAAUUCCGGCGACAAAGUACCCCAGCGCACCAGGACUUGAACCACUGCAGCAUUGUCUUUCUUAACCAUUCGGCGAUCCAAAAUCUCAGAUGGAAUCAACUCAGUGGCAUCCAACUGCAGAGUAGAAGGAAGAGUGGAAAACACCGGUGAAGCAUCUGGAAUGUACUGCUUCAAUUGAGACACAUGGAAAACGGGAUGAAUCUCACUAUGAUCAGGGAGCUGCAGUUUAUAUGCGACUGAACCCACUUUAGCCACAACUGGAAAUGGACCAAAAUACUUGAACGCCAGUUUGGGAAAAGGACGAGCCACAACAGACUUUUGAGCAUAAGGUUGCAACUUCAGUAAGACCAAAUCACCAGGCUGAAAUGAGCGCAGUGUGCGCUUAGCAUCAGCUGUCUGUUUCAUACGAUUUUGAGCACGAGACAAAUGAUGUUUCAGUAAAGAAGAGAACAUAGCACGUUCCUGGAAUAACUGAUCAGCAUUAGGAGAAUUAGAAGGACUGUCAAAAGUGGACAGAGUAAGCUCAGGCACCAUACUGCAAGAUGGCUCUUGACCAAAUAGGGCUUUAUAAGGGGAACAUUGCAGAGAGGAAUGGUAACAUGUAUUGUACCAAUAUUGAGCCAAAGGGAGCCACGCACACCAACGUUGUGGAGUAGAAGAAACUGCACACCUGAGAUACAUUUCAAGGCAUUGAUUCACUCGCUCAGUUUGUCCAUCGGAUUGUGGGUGAUAGGUUGUGGACAGAUGUAAAGGAAUCUCAAAGCGCUUGAACAAAGUCUGCCAAAAGUUGCUAGUAAAGACUUUAUCACGAUCUGAGACAAUAGAUUUAGGCAACCCAUAUAAUGAUGCCACAUUGUUCAGAUAGACCUUAGCCACUUGCAAGGCUGAAAAGGGAUGCCUGAGAGGCAAAAAGUGUGCAAACUUUGUAUAUCUAUCCACCACCACAAAGAUUACAUUAGCACCUUUUGACAGAGGUAAUCCUUCUAUAAAGUCCAUAGAAACAUCUUGCCAAGCUGCAGAGGGAAUCACCAAGGGUUAUAAGAGACCAGGAUAAGAGCAAUGCUCAUGCUUUGCUUGUUGACAGAUCAAACAUUGUUGGACAAAUUCUUCCACAGCCUUUUUCAAACCAACCCAAGCAAACAGCUUCUUUACUCUCUGAUAACUGACUAGCACACCAGUGUGACCCCCAAUAGCAGAUGCAUGGAAGGCAGCAAUCAACUUAGUCUAUAAAGCAGAAUUUGCACCCACCUAGAUUUUACCAGCCUUCCUGAUUAAACCAUUAGACAAAGAAAAACCCUUAGCAUUUGGAGAAGAGACAGCUAGCUCACAAAGUAACUGCUGAGCAGAUGAAUCUACAGCAUAGGAGUUGAGAAUCUCCUAAACCCAAACAGAUUGAACCACAGAAAUCCCAAAAAAAUGCCCUACUUUGGAUAGUGCAUCAGCAGAUUUGUUCUCAACUCCUUUUUUAUACUGGAACUUGUACUGUAAUCCAAUAAGCUUAGUCAUCGCCUUUUUCUGUAACUCAGUGUCCAAAGUCUGAUCAUCUAAAUGACAAAGAGCCUUGUGAUCAGUCUUGAUAACAAAAGGACCCCGAAGUAAAUAAGAUCUCCAACGAUCAACUGCCAUCAUUAUAGCCAAAAAUUCUUUUUCAUAUAUAGACAGCCGCUGAUUCACAAUUCCCAAUGCCUUGCUAUAAAAUGCCACAGGAUGUCCUUCUUGAGACAACACAACACCAAUUCCUGUGGCACAAGCAUCAGUCUCAAUCACAAAAGGCUUAGCAAAGUCAGGAAGGGCUAAAACAGGUGUAGAACACAUAGCUUCUUUAAGAGCAACAAAUGCUGACUGAGCUUGAGGUGUCCAUACAAACUUAGCAUUCUUUUGGAGUAACAUGGUUAAAGGUUUUGCCAGGAUGCCAUAAUGUUUGACAAACUUCCUAUAAUAACCAGUUAACCCCAAAAAGCCCCUUAAUUCAGUGACAUUGCUAGGAAGUGGCCAAUCCUGCAUAACCCUAGUUUUUUCUGGAUCAGUAGCCACACCCUCAGCAGAAAUGAUAUGCCCCAAGUAUUCCAACUUAUUUUGAGGAAAAGAACAUUUAGAAAGCUUAGCACACAAUUGAUGUUGCUGCAGCAAUUGUAACACUAACUCUAUAUGGUGAAUGUUAUCCUCCAAACUCCUACUAUAGAUCAAGAUGUCAUCCAUGAAUACCAAUACAAAUUUACGAAGGAAUGGAGCGAAAAUAGAAUUCAUUAAACACUGAAAAGUAGCUGGAGCAUUAGUGAGCCCAAAUGGCAUCACCCGAAACUGAAAAUGGGCAUGAUGAGUUUUGAAUGCAGUCUUAAAUUCAUCAGUUUCUAACAUCCUUAUUUGAUGAUAUCCACUGCGAAGGUCCAGUUUAGAGAAAAACUUGGUGCCAGCCAAUUCAUUCAAUAGCUCAUCAACUAUUGGCAGAGGAAACUUAUUUUUAAUAGUUAAAGAAUUCAGCCGCCGAUAAUCAACACAAAACCUCCAAGAAUUAUCCUGCUUCUUAACUAACAAAACAGGUGAAGCAAAUGGACUGCAACUAGGAGUAAUCAAACCAGCAUUCAACAUCUCCAAAACUUGCUUUUCAAUCUCAUCUUUUUGUGUUGGAGAAUACCUAUAAGGUCUGGAAUUAACAGGGACCGAAUUUGGAAUCAAAGCAAUAGAGUGGUCCAACACACGAUGAGGAGGCAAAGAAUUGGUAGCAGUAAAGACGGAAGAAAACUUAUCCAAUACUGACUGAACAGCUAGUUCAACAGGUGGGGAGCCCUUAGAGAAAUCUGGUUCAAGUACUGCCAUAGCCCAAAUAUAAUUGCCUUGAGUCCACUUAACCACCUGAUGAACAGAUGCCUCAGUAACUGCAGAAAAAGGAGUAGACUGAAUGCCUUGCAAGGUUAUCAAAUCACCUUGAUAGGGAAAUUGAAUGCUUCUAGCAACCCAAUCACACUGCAUAGGGCUAUGUUUGGUCAACCAGUCCAUGCCUAACACCACAUCAUAACCCCCCCAUAGCAAUAACUCUCAUAGGAAAAGAAAAAUGAAAUCCCUGAAUCCACCAAGUAAACUAAGGCACUGUGGCCUCACAAGACAACAACUCCCCAUUAGCCACUUUAACAGAAAUUGGCACAGUUGACACAGGAUGCAGCUGUAACCUAGUACACAAAUCAGCGGUCACAAAGUUGUGUGAACUACCUGAAUCCACCAAAAUCAGAAUAACUUGAUUGCCCACCAUUGCUCGCAACUGUAAAGUAGAAGCAGAACAUGUACCAGCCAUGGCAUGCAAAGAUAAAUUGCAAUCAUCUUCCACCAUGUCAGAUGCCACCACAGCAUCCAAAUUAUCAUCAGACAAAAUCACCUGAUCCUCCUGAACUUCCAUGGCCUUUAGCUGAGCAUUAUCUGGUUUCACACACACAUGUCCAGGCACAUACUUAUCCCCACACUUGAAACAAAGGUCGUGAGCUCGACGAUAUUCCUUGAGUUGCUGUGCUUUCCAUAACUCCCCAGUGGCUAACUUAGGCUUUUCAGGUUGUUUCCAAACAACAGGAUCUCUCUUCUGAAAAUGUCUCUUGCCCACAUUACCAAGCUGUGCCCCCUCAUGAGCCAAAGCCACCAAAUAUGCUUGAGUAAUAGAAGUUGGAUGCACCGCUUAGACAAAAGAACGCAACUCAUCUUUCAAUCCCAACACAAAAUGAUUAAUUAGCCCCGAACCAGACAGAGAAGGAUCAUAGAGCCUAAUCUGAUACACCAACUGAUUGAACUUGGAACGAUAUUCAGUUACUGUGCCGUCUGUGUCAACAAAAUCAGUUCAUCCAUCUUAAGACUCCUGAGAUUAACCUCAAAUUCUCCAGCGAUAGCCAUUUUUAACAUGGUCCAAUCAUGCCAACCCACUUCUAACUUCCACACCUGGUACCAAUUAGCAGCAUCCCCCACUAGAUGCAGAGCAGCAGCUGACACCAUAAACCCCUCCGCAAUUUGAUAAAAGGCAAAAUACGUUUCACAAUUAUCAAUCCACACGCGGACACCAGUACCAUCAAAUUUAGGAAAAUCCAUCUUCGGAGUCCACUGGCGUCGCCCCAAAUCCCCAAAAUCAGAAACAUCAGGAGCAGUUUGAUGACCUGGUACCUGACGAGACCGAUGAACAGGUGGUGGAGGCGGUGGUGUUGGUGGUGGUGUUGAUGAAGAUGAAGAUGCUCCCAACGGCUACUCCGGAGAUGGAAGCAGUGGUGGAGGACGCGGAGGCGGCGGAGGGGGCGGCAGUGGUGGUGUUGGUGGUGCCGCGGCCGCCUUCAGUGCACGCGCCACCUGACUCUGUUCUUGCUGAACCUGGCCGAGGGACGUCAUGGAGAGAUCCACUUUCGUCUGCACCCGAUCUAGCCACUCGCCUUGCUGCGCCAGCUUGAGGUCGAUCUGCGUCAAACGCUUGGCGAUGUCCUCCACACCAUCCACCUUGAGUGCUAGUGCCUUGAGAGUAUCCAUCAAACGCUCCUCCAUAGAUUCCAUCGCCGCCACCAUGUGCCGAACCUGCGCACUAGGUUUUGCUGGUGCCGUGGCGUCGUCUCCUCCAAACCCAAUCAAACCAAACUAUGAUUUACCGCGGCGACAACCCGAAGGAAGACCACGAACGGAGCCACAGGAUUUACUGAUCGAGCCGAGAGAAUGUGAGAGACAGCCCCGAGACCGAACAAAGCGACUGAUACCAACUUGUCACAACCCAAUCCGCGGCGGCAAAGCUCACCGGAGUUGAGGGACACGGCGAACUAGCAUGGGGAAGAAGAAGAAGAAGACUUAGGCGAGAAGAAGAGACAGAACUUGGGGGAGGUGAGAUUCUUUUUCAUUUCUCAUUUCGUAAUCGUAUCAGUACAACAACGAGGGGAUUUUAUCCUCCACUCACACAGCUGUCUCCUGUGCCCUACUUGGCAUUCACACACACCUACCACUCUCUUUACACAAUACGCUUUCUUGGCGAAGACACGUCUUCUCACUUUACGCUUUCCCCUGUUCUCCUUCCUUUGUCGCCACUGUGAUGUCCGGCAAUGGCACAACCGUGACACUCUGAUGAACACCUCGCCGAGCAGAGUGGAGAGGGCGAGGGAUAGGGAAGCGAUGGCCUGUGGCGGCGUAGAGAUGAAAGGGAAGAAGAGGGCAGCGACUCGCAUCCAUCUCAUCUGGGUGGCCGGAUACGCCGGCGAGGAGGACGGCGCCUGGCGCCGCAACGAUGGUUGGAGGAGUGCGAAACUGCGGCGGCAGCGACAACUAUGGCACAUGCGAGGGGAGGAGAGCGUGGUGAUGCACCGAGGGUGGAGGGUGAGGGCGAGGGCGAGGGCUCAUGCAAGGGUGGGGGCGACGGGGCUAGGGUUUGAUGCAGUCGGCGAAAUCGGCACCAUCCAUUCCGCAUCCAACGAUUAAUUUCACGCAUGCGGAAGAGCCACCACAAGGGAUCAACCCUAGAGAGAGAUCAAACGGUUCACGGUGGAUAGCAACUGGGAUCAAUGUAUAAUUAACCAGAAGUACGGGGACUUCUAUGAAAAAAAAUCGCUGACAUGGCGCUCUAAAAUCUCAGCGCUCCCACGGCAUUUAGAGUGGUUAAUAUCUCUUCAUGGUAUUAAAAGUAAUUACAUAGUUAGGGGAAAGUAACUUUUUAAAAGAUAGAAGUAAUUCUUUAUGGCAUUAGAAGCAAGUACACUGCUAGAGGAACUAAAAAAUAGAAGUAAUUUUUCAUAGGAUUAGAUAACACCGUAAAGAAAUCGAAGUAACUCUUAACCGUACGAUUAGAGAAAGUAAGUAUAUAUAUAGAAAAAUAUAAGUAACUGUGAAAUCAUUGUCAUGAUUAAUAUUUUGUAAUGAACAAUUGGCUUUAUAAAUGAUUGUUUUAGUGAAAUUGGUUUGAAAUAUAUGUGGAUGUCGGUCAAAUUAUAAUAUCUCAGCCUUGAAACGGUUGAUUUGUCGUAUUGGGUGCUCUUUUGAGGUUUACCUCAAGAAAGAUUCACUGCUAACAUUGUAAGGUUCUUUGCCUGCACUCUUUUAAAAGGCUACAGUGGCACCCUGAUAUUUUCUGCUACUAUUGAAUAGUUCACAUAAAUAAAUACCAUAUAUUUGAAUAAGUAAACAAGUAACAAGUUAUACUACCAUAUUUGAUAAAAAAUUAAUAGUCUACGAUAUAUUAUAAUAUAUGUUUUCUCCUAUCCAUAACAAAGAAUAAGUAAACAAGUAACAAGUUAUAUACAACCAUAUUUGAUAAAAGAAAUAUAGUCCAUGAUAUAUUAUAAUAUGUUUUCUCCUAUCCAUAACAAAGCAUGGAGAUUUUGCUAAUAGUAAAUACAUCUCAAAGAUAACUAUAUAUCAUUAUUCAACGAGCAACAGCUUCCAAUGAAUAUAAUGGUUCACAUCCUUCCUCUGCGCGUGAGGUGGACAUGAAGCGGGUGGAGCUUGUAGGCGGUGAGCUGCACGGUGUCCACCUUCUCCUCGUCACCCUCCCUCAGCCUCCACCCGAACUCCUGCACGAAGCGCGCGACGGCGGCGCACGCGAUGUGAGUCGCCUGCAGGCUCCCCGCGCAGGCCCUCCUCCCGGCGCCGAACGCCAUCGUCUUGUACAUGUCCGCCACCUCGAGCCUCCCGCCGGCGAACCUCUCCGGCACCCACUCCUCCGGCGACUCCCACUCCUUCCUGUUCAUGUUGCACCCGUACAGGUUGAUCACCAUCUGCCACAUGACCAUCACUUGUUAGAUUGUUAGGGGAUUUUGAUCACUGAUCGGCGAGUUGACCAGUGAUUAAAAUUUUGGACUCCCCAGGCAAGCAAUUAUAUCCCACCCGAAAACUCUACGAGAAGUCAAGAACGACAAGUUUGCCUGAUAUGAUAAAAAAUACUCCGUCCAAAAAUAUAAGAACCUAGCACAUGAUAGAAAAUUUCCUAGUAUUAGGAUAGAGGAAAUGUCAUAUCCGAUUCUAGGCUUCUAUAUUUUAGGACAGAGGGAGUAUUGGAUUUCAACGGGAUGUGCCAAGGCAGGUUUGAAACAAGGAUAUAGAAGAAAAGUGUAGCUUAAUCUUGUGUUAUUUUUAUUCAAAGCUUGUUUUCUUAUGGUCCACUGUGGAUAUAGAGGUCAGAUUUCUAUCAAUUAUCUUAAAAAUAACGCCCAAAAUUUUCAGAAUUUUCCAAAGUUUUGUGAAUUUGGUCAAAAUUUUAUACAAAUUCGGUUAAAAACUCAAAUAAUUUCGUGCAAAACAAGUACCGAAAACACGAAAGUUUCGGCCCGAGUGGUUGUGCUUACCUCGGUGCCGGCGGGGACGUCGUAGCCAGCGAGCUUGGUGUCCUCGUGGACGAACCUCGGAGGUAUGAGCGGGACAGGGGAGUGGCGGCGCAGCGUCUCGUGGAAGACGGCGUUGAGGUACGGCAGCCGUGGGAGGUGCUCCUCGGUGACCGUCUCGUCGCCGCACACCUCCCGGAUCUCUUGGUAAAGCCGUUCCUGGCAUGACAACAAGAAGAAGGCCAAAAAUAAAAAGCUUUGGUUGAUAAUGCCAAGAAUGCCAACAAUGAGCUGGAACAGAGUAACAAUAUUUCUUGCCUGUUUGUCAGGGUUCUUGGCAAGCUCAUACAUGGCCCAUUCUGUGGUGACCAAGGUAGUAUCUGCAGCCUCUAUGAGUGCCUCCCACACUAGCAUCAUCAGUUGCUCAUCUGUCAGUGUGUUCUCUGCCAGCAAGAAGUCCAGAUAGCAUGUCUUUGCCUGCACAUAUAUCUCAGUUUCAUGGAGUUAAAAGAUGAUCUCUGCAAGUUUUUUUUUUUUUUUGGCAUAGAAGCAAAUAUGAAAGAUGUCAUUUGUCAAAGUAUGCCUUUCCUCACCUCUCCACGCACAAUCCUUUCCUUCUGCUGCUUGAUCAAGGCGCGCAUCACCGCAGUUCGUCUAGUUUCUGUAGUAAACACUCUUGUUUCGAAGCUCUUGUUUGGAACCCAGCUGAGGUAGGGGAAGAAAUCUCUCCAGUCGACCUCAAUUGCGCACAUCAUCAUGUCGGUCACAGUAGCAUUGUAGAUUUCUUCCUUCGAAAUGUCCCUCCCAAAUUCAUCCACAUAGACUGAACUCACAUCCUCUCCUAAGCUC
rnacentral:lncRNA from 1 species